UUGUUAAAUACACACAAGGAAGACAAUCAUUUAAACGUUUUGAGAACAAUGUUGAAGCAGAAACGGUUGUCUCUUAUGAGGUCGAUAAGAUUUGGGAAAACAGAGAUGCUGAUCACAUUAUAAGAAUCACAGUAGACGAUCUGGACGAAGA